CCUACGGGGGGCAGCAGUGAGGAAUAUUGGUCAAUGGACGAGAGUCUGAACCAGCCAAGUAGCGUGAAGGAUGACUGCCCUAUGGGUUGUAAACUUCUUUUAUAUGGGAAUAAAAUGUUCCACGUGUGGGAUUUUGUAUGUACCAUAUGAAUAAGGAUCGGCUAACUCCGUGCCAGCAGCCGCGGUAAUACGGAGGAUCCGAGCGUUAUCCGGAUUUAUUGGGUUUAAAGGGAGCGUAGGUGGAUUGUUAAGUCAGUUGUGAAAGUUUGCGGCUCAACCGUAAGAUUGCAGUUGAAACUGGCAGUCUUGAGUACAGUAGAGGUGGGCGGAAUUCGUGGUGUAGCGGUGAAAUGCUUAGAUAUCACGAAGAACUCCGAUUGCGAAGGCAGUUCACUGGACUGCAACUGACACUGAGGCUCGAAAGUGUGGGUAUCAAACAGGAUUAGAUACCCGUGUAGUC
rnacentral:rRNA from 1 species